UACUGCUGAAAUUGUCCAUAAAAUAACC
rnacentral:piRNA from 1 species